rnacentral:rRNA from 1 species
GAUCAUGGCUCAGGACGAACGCUGGCGGCGCGCCUAACACAUGCAAGUCGAACGAGAGAGAGGGAGCUUGCUUCCUCAAUCGAGUGGCGAACGGGUGAGUAACGCGUGAGGAACCUGCCUCAAAGAGGGGGACAACAGUUGGAAACGGCUGCUAAUACCGCAUAAGCCCACAGCUCGGCAUCGAGCAGAGGGAAAAGGAGCAAUCCGCUUUGAGAUGGCCUCGCGUCCGA